GGGGUUGUAGCUCAGUGAUAGAGUUCAUGCUUUGCAUGCAUGAGGCCUUGAGAGCAAUCCCU
rnacentral:tRNA from 1 species